AAUAAUUACUUUAAUCUUUUGUUCUGUGUGUGACUGAUGGAUUUAUGUUGUUAAAUGAAAAGGUCUCUCUCUACUUACACAGUUCAUUCAACCAUAACUUAUAAAGACGCUCUAAAUAAGAAAGUUGACCUGCAGAGACCCCCUCCACCUGCAGUGAUGAUGCAGAUAUCACAAUACAGAUAUCAGCUCUUCUCCUAAAUGACGAAAUAUCAGUCAAGCAAGCAUGUGUCAUGUCUUGUAUGUAUUUGAAAGUUAGUGGUUUCUGGGAUGAGGAGUUUUAUCUCAGGUUCUUAAAUCCAGAAAACCUGUUAUACAACCAUAAUAGUUCAGACUAAAAUGAAGUCUGCAGCUGUAGAAUUUAGAAAUGUCUAUCUUCUUAGAGAAAAUAUAAAUCAUACUGAAACUUUCCAAAACAUUGUUCUUAACUUUUCAAUGGCAGACUGUAAUGUUAAUUAAUGUAAAUGAUAGAAGGCAAGUCAAGCAUGGAGUGUGUGUAUGUGCCAGUGUAGUGAUUCAGAAAGUGAUGAGACAUGCUGUGAGCCAACAUAAACACACAGUAGAAUCACGUGCAGUUGCCAGGGAUAAAAUACAAGUCUGACAUGAAAAAAACUCUAGAUAGAGAAAGCGAGAAAGGCAGUUCAGUAGUUAGGAGAGAAAGAAGGAUGGGAGAAGGAAGAGAAGUAAGGUGGUUGAGCUGGGUUAAUUACUAUGCUGAAAGAUAAAUUACCCAGUAAGCUGCUCCCAGCUGUACUCCUUAACCUCUACAAGGCGUGUAUUUGGGUGUUCUCUUUUCAAGCAAGAGUGUGUACAACAAAUCAUUCAAUACCUUGGUCAGAUCUCUUUUUGUGCUCAGUAAGACAAUCAAUGUUAAGCUAUUGCAGAAUUACUUUAUUUGCAAACAUUUGUCACUAAUGAUUAAUAUUCCACAACUGAAAGUGUCCAGUAAUAGGAACAAUCAAGUAUGCGUUUUUCUUUUGACCACUGAUGGCUUGGGAUGCAUUAACACUUUUAGUGCAGACCCGAGUCCAUGUGAAGUCAGAGUCCUGUUUGUUUUAUUGUGUAAACACCAGCAAAUGCCACCUUAGUUCACAGUGCAGACAGACACAAGCAGAGUUCUAUGCUUGUUCUGUACAAGACAAAAUCAUAAGUAAAAUGGUAAAGGCUGACUUGUUAGCCAACUACUGAUAAACAGUUAAAAAUAAAAAAUAAAUAAUGCUGUGAGAAGUAAGACCUGAGUGGGCAGCGGAAGUAAAGUCUUUGAGGCCGGGGUCCCUUUAACAUGCUCUACCUGUGCAGAAGGCUGUCUGGUUCAAGCGCAACAUACAAAUGGAUGAAACUAAAUGGCAUUCAGCACAAAGCAGGGUGAGUUUCUGAUAAUGCAAACGUUUACAUCAAUGACGUCUAUCUAUCCGUCCUUUGUACUCAAGGCCAUCCGGUCUCUCUUUUCUAUCACAUGUGAAGUUAUUGUGACAAAAAAAGAUGUGACAAAUGAGUAAAAAGACAGAGGACACAUCAAGGAAAGCGGAAAAAGUGUAAAAGCAGUUGUCUGGCUUAAAAGCUUUCAUCUCUCUGGAUGUGGAUCAAAGCUGACUACUGCUUUAGGAUUCCACUCUUUAGGCGGAUUAGCAACCGACAAUUUGCGUCUCUCUGAAUGUGGACAGGAUAGUGAGCAUGGUGGUCUGGACACCACCUUACACUGCACCUUAAACCACCAUUAUGUGUGUGCGCAUAAGAAGAUUCUACAAUGAAUUCUACGCUUGUCAGAUAAAUGAAUAAAAGCAUUGAAGAUGAAAAGCACAGAGGCCUUUGCUCAACUUUUGUGUGUGAGCUCGGAUGGCUACACGUGCAAAGCUCGUCUGGUCUAGCAACCGAAUUGUGCACAAAUGAGGUUGCCUGUUUAGAUUUCAGUGUGUUUAUGUUUGCAAGUUUGUUUAAACCUCUCUAAGGUCACUAUUUGCGUGUGGAUGUGUGUUUUCGGCUGAGAGGUUUGGCACAAACUCCCUGUCUGCUGUCUGGAGGUGUAUGGAUAUGUGUGUGUGUAUUGAUGCUAUUUCUGCAGUCUGACUAACAUCAGUGGGUUCUGGCACUAACACACUAUUCUUUCCUGGUGCCCCAUCGCAAACCAGAACUGUCACUUUUGUGUAUGCGUGUGUGUAAAUGACAGAAAAAGCAAGACUGAAUGAUGAGUUUCUCUGUUUUAUAAUGUUGGACAAGCAGUAUUACCUAAAUAUGUUUGUGUGUAUGUGUGUGUUUGUGUUGAGCCAGGUGGCUCUAGAGGGAGAGAGCUGUUUCUAUUUCAGACCUCAACCUAAGGCCUAUUAUGGAAAUAAGAGGACGAAAGAGAGCAAGAGACAAAGACAGAGUGAAAGACAGAAAGAAAAAAAAUAGCAGUAACAAACAAAGCUGUCUCAAACAUAUGCACAAACAUUCACAGUAACACAAUCAAACCCAUCAAGAUGGACUCAUCCUCAGCUGUAUUGUCCGGGAGAUGAAAAUGUUACACAGGAACUAUCGCAUAAUCAGAGCAACAUGCUACCUUUUGAAUUUACAUCAUAAUUUACAAGUAAGUUUAUCUUUUAUAUUUAUUUACUGACCAAUACAACAAACACAACUAUAUGGUAGUUAUUGACAAAUCUAUGCUAAUCUAAGCGAAUGGCAUAGUGCUAUGCAGUGUUGGGUAAGUUACUCAAAAAAAUGACUACAUUAAAACUGUAACUUGACUACAUCUCUCCUAUCAUUAGACCAAUAGGCCACUCUUGGGCCGCUCUUGGACCGCUCUCGUCUUGGGCGCGGGUAUCCUCCUUGACAAUGAGUUUUGUUGUAGAAUGCUUUCUGUUUAAGUGCUUCAACAAAUUGCUGGUCGAGUUAAUAGCGGUAGAAAGUUCAUUAGAAAUUGCGCACAGUUUGCAUUUAACAGUAAUAUUUUUGUUUUUACGCACAAUGAAAUAAAAAUGUUUGUAUUUCCACUUGAAGAAACAACCACCACACUCCUAUCUCCGGCAAUAAAUUAAUUAACGUGAUUUCUUUUAGAAAUGCAUUUUACCCAAUAUUUUUUUCUUGUAAUGCAGGUAACGUAAUUUUAGUGACAUCAGUAACUGUAAUCAAAUUACAUAAAUUUAAAAUGUAAUGCGUUACAUUACUGUGUUAUCAGGAAAAGUAAUUAGAAUACAGUUAUGCUAUGCAUCAAAACUAGAUCGCUCCCAAUAUAAUUAACGCUAUCUAUUCUGCCCAAUCAUAAAAAGUAAAAAACAGAGAAUUAAAUGUUCUGACAUGAAAACCAGCACCAAUUAAAUGGAAAAUGUGGAGUCUUUGCAUGCAAAUGGGACAAACACUUAUUCGCCUCUUUAAAUAAAAAAAAUUUAAAAAAUCAGUUUAACGAGAGAAAAAAUUGUCUAAUCAAAUACGUUAAUCUUCAUAAAAUGUCCCAAUGCAACAAUUUAUUACAUAAUUACAUUACUCCACAUUAAAUCAACUCUUUAAUUUUAAAGAUUUAAAGUUCACCAACAGUGCCCCCAAAAAAUGAGAAUAUAUGUCUGGCUCUCUGAACUCACCCACUUUGACUCAUCUGUGCAUUGAAACGGGAACCUGACCUCAAGCCUAAGCUUAUGGUAAGAAUUGUGGUAAAUCAGCCAGACAAACUCUUUCAUCUCUUCAGUAUUUAAUGAUCUGCUUCCGGGAAAUAGGUACUUUUCUCAUAUUUUAUUACCAGUAACCAUCUAGCUGUCCCAGUACAUUAACAGCUGUGUCUUUCUCAGAAGAUAUAUUUUAGCAGCACCCUACCUCAACAGUAACAAGAUGUGAUCUGAGGUCACAAAGGGAACACUGGACAGACAGAAACCUUGGAUAACAUCUUUCUCCUGACAUUAUACCUCACCUGUGGCUAGAUUUAGCAUCACCUUCUGGAAACCUGAGGGGUUAGCAGGUAACACAGGCUCCAUUCACGUGAGCAGAUCACCAAGACAUGAACUCAAUGGUCUGUUUAUCACCAUGGAAUACUGUGUUAGAUGAUAAUGGGGGUGUUAGGACUCUGCAGACAGAGAAAUGAGCUGAUAAGUGAAGUAUAAGGUGUCCCAGUGGAGCUAUAAACCAAGAAUAAAUCCUAAGAUGUCGAUGGAUGCGUCAUAUUUCAGAGUUGCACCAAGUAGAGAGUAAAGUCCUACGACACUCUGAAAGGCGAGAGGUGAAAGGAAGCUGAACGGCCCAGAGGAAACACCUACACUCCUAACUAAACCCAGAUGUGUGAGUCAACCUAAAAAAAAGCAACAGUGUCAGCUUUCUAGUUUUUGGAUAAAGUGUAUUGAGAAAAUUGAUUUACAUAGAUUUCCCAUCACACCAGCAAAAAUAUCAAAACAACAAUGUAAAUCAAUAGGUUUUAAGAUGAGCUCUUUGAUGGUUAAAUGAAUUUAGCUUUCAAUUGUAGUUUUUUGUUGUUGUUGUCUAUACAGGGCCUGAUUUCCUCAUGUAAAGUGAUGAUAUGUUGAAGGGAACUGAACUAAAAUGUUCUCUGUCAACCCUCUUCCACACAAUCAGACACUUCUCCCCACAUUCCCUAAGCGACACAAGUCAAAAGCCAAGACAAGCUGAUAAAAAUGGUCUGGUCUCAUCCUGGCUACAAGCUAAAUAAUGGAACAUUGUUUUGCUUCCCACUGCUUUAAAAUAUGAAGUAACAGCAAAUAGCUGUUUGCUCUCAACAUUGGCCUUAAGGAGCCACCAUAUUGUCAAUAUACUGUCAAGGCAGCUAAAUAUUGACAAAAACAUUAUUUAAGGAAUAAAAAAGUAUUUGAGAAAUCAUGUUCAGUCUUCUGAUAUACUGUGUAAACUCAGCAUAGAAUAAUUAAUGAAUGUGCUGUG